UGAGGAAUAUUGCACAAUGGGCGAAAGCCUGAUGCAGCAACGCCGCGUGAGGGACGAAGGCCUUCGGGUCGUAAACCUCUUUUCUGGGGAAAGAGCAAGGACGGUACCUCAGGAAUAAGUCUCGGCUAACUACGUGCCAGCAGCCGCGGUAAAACGUAGGAGGCGAGCGUUAUCCGGAUUUACUGGGCGUAAAGCGCACGCAGGCGGCUUCGUUAGUCGGAUGUGAAAGCUCCUGGCUUAACUAGGAGGGGCCAUUCGAUACUGCGAGGCUUGAGGCAGGGAGAGGGGUGCGGAAUUCCCGGUGUAGUGGUGGAAUGCGUAGAUAUCGGGAGGAACACCUGUGGCGAAAGCGGCACCCUGGCCCUCGCCUGACGCUGAGGUGCGAAAGCGUGGGGAGUAA
rnacentral:rRNA from 1 species